rnacentral:rRNA from 1 species
ACACUAAUCCUACCAGGGGAACCUGGCCCUUAAUUCGAUGAUCCACGAUUGUUUUUUACCCUCUUUAGUGAGCUUUGUCUGCGGAGGCAGACCGGUUUGUGUCAGCUUGCAUACCGCCGUUGUUCAGCCUAUACUGAUUAGGGGGCAAAAAUAGGCGACGCAGUAAGACUAGGUUGUCCGUCGGUCUGACGGUUGUUUUACUACUAAUUCAGGUAAACGUGCAGCUAAUGAGAGGGGGAGGCUGGGUUACAGUGGGCGAUUUUCUGGAUCCUAAGUUAAAGUGAGGGUGAAAGCGGACUUGGAAGUAAUAGCCUUGGCUAUAGGGGCGGUGAAUAGAGCUCUAGUGUGUGU